rnacentral:rRNA from 1 species
GUGGGGAAUAUUGCACAAUGGGGGGAACCCUGAUGCAGCGACGCCGCGUGAGCGAAGAAGGUUUUCGAAUCGUAAAGCUCUGUCCUAUGAGAAGAUAAUGACGGUAUCAUAGGAGGAAGCCCCGGCUAAAUACGUGCCAGCAGCCGCGGUAAUACGUAUGGGGCGAGCGUUGUCCGGAAUUAUUGGGCGUAAAGGGUACGUAGGCGGUUUUUUAAGUCAGGUGUGAAAGCGUGAGGCUUAACCUCAUUAAGCACUUGAAACUGGAAGACUUGAGUGAAGGAGAGGAAAGUGGAAUUCCUAGUGUAGCGGUGAAAUGCGUAGAUAUUAGGAGGAAUACCGGUGGCGAAGGCGACUUUCUGGACUUUUACUGACGCUCAGGUACGAAAGCGUGGGGAGCAAACAGG